ensembl:lncRNA novel transcript, sense intronic to CDK6
AGUCACCACAAAGGCCAGAGCUGGUCCUAGAGUCUGGCAAAAGGCUGAGCAUGAAACUUCCAAUGGUGCCAGGCUUCCAGCAGGAGGAAUAGAGGCUGUGGUAAAGGAAACCGUUGGCAAAUGAAAGAAACCAGAAACUGUCACUACCCAUAACAACGAAACAACAAAAAAAUUUACAGAAAAGGAAGGGGAGACAAAGGAAAUUGUUUAAAGUGGUUGAAGCCUGUACAGUCUGAUGUGAUCAUUAGGCGUGAGGGUGCCGCAGCAUGGUGGUGCCUAAGACACUGACUCCAAUUUUCCAGUGAGAACAGGAAGGCUUUAAGCACCAAAGCCAUGCUGUCCAGUAAUACUGCUGAGCAAGAAAGCUUUUCUUGAAGGAAGAGAAUAGCGUUUAAUUGAGACUAUUUUUGUCAGUCUCCUAACAUGCUCCUCAGACCACUAAUAUGCAAAAGAACCUAAGGAUCUGGUCACCAAGUUACGUCAAAAGAGUUUACCCCAUAGUCCUUUUUACUGCCUUUUGCAGAACAAACGUUUAAUAAUGUCGCUAUUGUUCAUUGGUUAUCAAGAAAUAACUCAUUGUAACUCAGAAGUGCUUAGCAAAGAAUCUAUCUCAUAUGUACUUUCUUUAUUUCAAGAACUUUAAGGAGGCAGGUUUUCUACGUGUGUUCACCAAAGCGCCAAGAUUUUUUUUAAUAUUUUGAGAAAAUAUUUUCAGUAAAUCUGUAUUCAUUGAAUGAAAUAUUAAGUGGAUCCAUAAAGAAGCAGAUGAUAUAAGUCCCAGGAUAACAUCAGGAGAAUCUGAACACAGUGUAGCUGAAGCAUUUCAUCACCCCCCAACAAGAAAAUUGCUAUUUUGCCAACUAUUCUACCACAUUGCAGUGUUUCUAAGAUCUACAUUUUUUUCACAUUUAUUUCUAAAAAUCAAAAUGUGAAUUGCAGUCAACUGGUGACAUCUUAGAUCUGAUGAGAUAUGGUGGUUCUCCUGGAAAAGCAAAAGUUAGUAAUUUUCAGCAUAUCAUUGGCAUCCAAUGUUUAACUCUGGGGGGGUCAAAAGACAUCUUCAAGCACUAGUGAAGAAGACAUAUUUAAUUUGAGGACAUUUUUAUUAUAAUUUAGUAGGUAAGUGAUGUUCCUUCAAGGCAUUCAAGGAACCCACUCUGGAAUAGACUAAAGAGACUCUGAGUCAGUUAGUGUUGCCCACGAGGGUCACAGCCGGUCAAUGGCAGACCUGGACUGAGGUUCCUGCCCAGUCUGGAGGGUCAACACAGGGUGUGUUGUCCUGCUACCUGUCAGAGCAGGCACAAAGCAAGACUCAGUGAGGCAGACCCCGAUUUGCUCUGAAGCAUCCUUCUAUCUGGGCAUUGGCAGAACUCCCAAAUGAGUGGGUAAAGGUACCAAAAAAGUUCAGCCUCAAAUGAGUGGGUCAGUAAGACAUGAGACAGUGAAACGUUGUUCAAUUGUGGGACAUGGGAUUGGCUUGGCAGAGUCACUCUGCUCCAUGCUCAGCCUGCAGCCUCCUCCCUGGUAUCAAGGCCUUCCUACUUCCAGGUUCAUCUUUUGAAAUACAUCAUUUAUUUUCAAAAUAUACUGAUGUUAAUAAAAAUAAUGCCAAAGAUAUACUAAAA